rnacentral:rRNA from 1 species
UAGGUGAACCAGCGGAGGGAUCAUUACCGAGUUUACAACUCCCAAACCCCAAUGUGAACGUUACCAAUCUGUUGCCUCGGCGGGAUUCUCUUGCCCCGGGCGCGUCGCAGCCCCGGAUCCCAUGGCGCCCGCCGGAGGACCAACUCCAAACUCUUUUUUUCUCUCCGUCGCGGCUCCCGUCGCGGCUCUGUUUUAUUUUUGCUCUGAGCCUUUCUCGGCGACCCUAGCGGGCGUCUCGAAAAUGAAUCAAAACUUUCAACAACGGAUCUCUUGGUUCUGGCAUCGAUGAAGAACGCAGCGAAAUGCGAUAAGUAAUGUGAAUUGCAGAAUUCAGUGAAUCAUCGAAUCUUUGAACGCACAUUGCGCCCGCCAGUAUUCUGGCGGGCAUGCCUGUCCGAGCGUCAUUUCAACCCUCGAACCCCUCCGGGGGGUCGGCGUUGGGGAUCGGCCCCUCACCGGGCCGCCCCCGAAAUACAGUGGCGGUCUCGCCGCAGCCUCUCCUGCGCAGUAGUUUGCACACUCGCACCGGGAGCGCGGCGCGGCCACAGCCGUAAAACACCCCAAACUUCUGAAAUGUUGACCUCGGAUCAGGUAGGAAUACCCGCUGAACUUAAGCAUAUCAAUAAGCGGAGGAAAAGAAACCAAC